AUCGCUUGUUUGCUGCCUCCACGAGAUCAAAGCCUGAUCCUUGUUACUCUGUUACUUCAGUCUGGCUGCAGCGUUGCAUGAUGGCGCUCUAGCAUCUACGGCCUCCGAUCUUCUCGUCGUUUACCUUGCAGUUUAGUCAGGUCCAAGGCCUCGCCUUCAUCAACUUCAAAAUCAACCGGAGUCCAAACUAAUCAGCAAUACAAAGUACUACCGGAGUGCCGGGAUCAGUCCGUCAGUCUCUGCAGCCCCAGCGCAGCAGCACUUUGCUCCCUGUCACCGCCUAGUCGCCCCUGCCCCCGCAGCAUUUGUUUCUUCCCGGAUAGGAUCGCGAAGUGGUGCGGUGAGAUACGAC